GAUGAACGCUGGCGGUCUGCUUAACACAUGCAAGUCGAACGGAAUCCUUCGGGAUUUAGUGGCGGACGGGUGAGUAACGCGUGAGAAUCUGCCUUCAGGUUCGGGACAACAGCUGGAAACGGCUGCUAAUACCGGAUGUGUCGAGAGGUGAAAGCUUUAGUGCCUGAAGAUGAGCUCGCGUCUGAUUAGCUAGUAGGAGGGGUAAUGGCACCCCUAGGCGACGAUCAGUAGCUGGUCUGGGAGGAUGAUCAGCCACACUGGGACUGAGACACGGCCCAGACUCCUACGGGAGGCAGCAGUGGGGAAUUUUCCGCAAUGGGCGCAAGCCUGACGGAGCAAGACCGCGUGAGGGAAGAAGGUCUGUGGAUUGUAAACCUCUUUUGAUGGGGAAGAAGACAGUGACGGUACCCAUCGAAUCAGCCUCGGCUAACUCCGUGCCAGCAGCCGCCGUAA
rnacentral:rRNA from 1 species